AAAGUGGUUAAUGAUGAUCAUUCUUUCCCCGACUUAUCGACAGUGGUGAAAAAGUUACACUAGCCAAUAUCUUUCUGAAACCACUAU